rnacentral:sRNA from 1 species
GUUGGGCACAGGAUUGCAUGCCUGUAAUCCCAGUGCCUAGGAGGCUGAGGCAGGAGGAUCACAAGUUCAAAGGCAGCCUCAGCAAUGGUGAGGCACUAAGCAACUCAGUGAGACCCUGUCUCUA